GGGGAAUAUUGGUCAAUGGGCGAAAGCCUGAACCAGCAAUGCCGCGUGAGUGAUGAAGGCCUUCGGGUUGUAAAGCUCUGUCAGUGGGAACGAAUAAACCGAUUAAUACCCGGCGAUGACGGUACCCACAAAGGAAGCACCGGCUAACUCUGUGCCAGCAGCCGCGGUAAUACAGAGGGUGCAAGCGUUGUCCGGAAUUACUGGGCGUAAAGCGCGUGUAGGCGGUCCUUCAAGUCGGACGUGAAAUCCCUGGGCUUAACCCAGGAACUGCGUUCGAAACUGCUGGACUAGAGUAUCGGAGGGGAUGGUGGAAUUCCUGGUGUAGAGGUGAAAUUCGUAGAUAUCAGGAGGGACACCUGUGGCGAAGGCGACCAUCUGGAAGAUUACUGACGCUGAGACGCGAAAGCGCGGGGAGCAAAC
rnacentral:rRNA from 1 species